CCCCUGUUCAGAAUCUAUCUGACGCGUUGUUGCGAUAAAAAUUGCCGUGGUUAUUUAUUUCAUGGCUAUACAGUUUUACAGCAUUACGCCAUAGUAAUUUGAUUUACAGAGAAGAUACCUUCUGAUACUAUCCACCAUGUGUUCCAAGAGUGGCAACUACAAUGGUGACUUGUUCGAGUAUAUCAAAGUUAGUGAAGAUGAAGAUGAAUCUAAUGCGGUUGAAAUUCCUUGCGAAUUAGAUGGUACACUGUUGCUUUCAACUCUCGUAGCCCAAUUUCCCGGGGCUUGUGGACUGAAAUAUCGACACCCGGAUAGCAAAUCAAUCCGAGGGAUUCGUCUAAGUGAUGGCAAACUACAUCCACCCAGUGAAGUAGGUUGGGGUAAACACCUGUACAUUUGUGUAUUUCCUAAAGAGAACAAACGUAAAAUGGAAGAUGUUUCUCCAGAGAAUUCUGCUGCUAAGACCAAACGCUUAGAGAAGAAACUGACAUGCUCAGAUUUAAUUUGUUUAGGAUUGCCCUGGAAGUCAACAGAAGAGUCCAUUAAGCAGUAUUUCGAGCAAUUUGGUGAAGUUGUAAUGGUGCAAUUGAAAAGAGAUAAGAAUGGCUCCUUUAAAGGUUUUGGUUUUAUUCGUUUUGCUACUUAUGCAUCCCAGAUGAGAGCUUUAGCCCAGAGGCAUAACAUUGAUGGCCGCUGGGUAGAUGUUCGUAUUCCUAAUUCAAAAGAAGGCGUAGUGCCUCAGAUGCCCUGCAAAGUAUUUGUUGGAAGGUGUACUGAAGAUAUGACAGCUGAUGAUUUACGAGAAUAUUUCUCAAAGUUCGGAGAAGUAACUGAUGUGUUUGUUCCACGUCCAUUUAGAGCAUUUGGAUUUGUUACAUUUUUGGAUCCAGAAGUAGCACAAAGUCUUUGUGGAGAAGAUCAUGUUAUAAAGGGAGCUUCUGUAUCUGUAUCAAGUGCAGCACCCAAAAUUAAGACCAAGUCCCAAAACUGGAAAGAUGAUUCCUAUGGGCCGAAUAAUUGGGAGGGCAACCGUUCAGGGGGACCAUCUGGUGGCCCAAGCAACAAUGGCGGAAAUAGUAACAUUGAUUCUCUUAACAUGCAGAACUUAGGAAUCAACCCUAAUGGAGGUCCACCAGCUAACUUCAAUUUACCUAUAAGUUUAGUAGCUGCAGCACUUAACCAAGCAGGAUGGGGUGGAUUUUUAGGAGGCCCUGGUAACUCUGGUCCCAAUAAUUGGCAAGGUGGCCCACCACAAGGCAACCCUGGGAAAAACUGGAAUGGUAAUCAAAAUUGGGGUCAAAAUGGACCACCACAAUCAUGGAAUCAGGGUGGUGGUAGUGGUGGCAACCAAGGUUGGAAUGGUGGUGGCAAAAGUGGAGGCAACUGGAAUCAAGGCAGUUGGCCAAAUGGCCAGGGCAACUGGAAUGGUAAUGGCAAUGGGGGAGGUGGCUCCAGUUCUGGCUCUGGAAGUGGGUGGAACAACAACAAGCCCCAAACAUGAGUUGUUAUACGUAAACUUGGAGGACUUAAGAAGACAUCUGGCCUAAUAAGCUCCUGGUGUUUGCAAUUUAACAACUUGUUUGUUCACUAAUGGACAGAAAGGUAGCUGCAAGUAUGUAUUAUGCAUUUAACAGUUCGCAUAAGCACAUCUUACUAUCUCAAUCUCAACUGCAGCGAGUUUAAGAACGUGUGAAUUCCGACCAGUAUUUGGGAGUGAUGAAAAAAGAUAUGGAAAGACAAAUUGCUCUACAAAAAUAAUUGUGAAUAAAAACUAAAGAAAUAGGAGUGGUUUUAAGGUCAUAAAAUUUGAAUUUCACAUUGCAAUUGAACAAGACACAUGUCUCCUCAAUUAGAAGGCAAAUGGUAAAAGCAGGACAGUAGCGUGUCCAAAUUCUUUCAGUGAAACGCGUAUGAAGCUGAUUGAUGAAGAGAACGGCGCAGCUCCAACUCGGCAUUUGAAUUUGACCCUUAAAUUAUAUCUCGUAUGUUUUUCUAUAACUUCAAUAUAAAAAGCCCGAGAAGGGGUGACAGCGAGCUUGCACAUACCUACCUGACCACAAAUGCGACGUUGCCGUGCCGUUCAUGUGUGUGUGCCAUAACCUUAAGUAGUCAAGAAGCGUGCAGAUUUGAAGAAAUUGUCGUCAAAGAGUUUAGACAAAAAACUUAUGAAAGAAGUUCACUUAGAACGAACAGAAAGAAUCAGAUUAAAAGAGUCCCAUGGGCCAGUUCAAGCGUCUCGCGUUCGGCUGAAGGAAGUCAGAAUCGUUCGCUGGUCAACUCCAUGAUUGGCCAAUGCACGGAGUCAAAUAUUCCAUGACGAAAGCCGGCUUUGUGAGAAAUUCAUCAACUGAAGGCAAAGGAUGUGAAGUACUUUGACUGAAAAGGUGUUAUACACUUGUGGAGGGUCUGUUAUGGUGUGGAGCGGCAUAACUUUGAAAGUACCCAUGCUUCAUGACUGCACACCGAUAUAGAUAAUAGGGGUUAAAGUAUGAAAUUGCCGAUUUGUACUGAAAAUCUAAAUUGUAAUUUUUUUUAAUUUUUAACAAACUUAUUUAAUCAAAAUAGUUGCCAUUAUUAUCUAUACAUUGCGGCCAUCUAAUAAGAAGGUCAUUUAUGCCGUUACGAUAGAACUCUGAGGAUCUAGACUGCACAAACUGUGUGAAAGAAUUUUGAUCUGCCUCCUGGGAAGAAACUUCUUGUGACGCAGAUAAUUGUCCAAAUCACAAAAAAAAAUGGUCGUCCGUUAGAGCAAGGUCUGGCGAAUAUGGAGGAAGACGAAUAGUUUCCAACUGCAGUUCCUGAAGAGUUAAAACGGUUUCUUUUGCUGUAUGAGGCCUCGCGUUGUCAUGGAGCAAUAACGGUGAAGGUCGAUUCAUGAGUCGUGGCUGUUUUACUGCUA